UACGUAGGGGGCGAGCGUUGUCCGGAUUUAUUGGGCGUAAAGAGCGUGUAGGCGGCCAGGUAGGUCUGCUGUGAAAACUCGAGGCUCAACCUCGAGACGUCGGCGGAAACCAUCUGGCUAGAGUCCGGAAGAGGAGAGUGGAAUUCCUGGUGUAACGGUGAAAUGCGCAGAUAUCAGGAAGAACACCCGUGGCGAAGGCGGCUCUCUGGGACGGUACUGACGCUGAGACGCGAAAGCGUGGGGAGCGAACAGG
rnacentral:rRNA from 1 species